rnacentral:rRNA from 1 species
CCUACGGGUGGCUGCAGUGGGGAAUAUUGGACAAUGGGGGCAACCCUGAUCCAGCCAUGCCGCGUGUGUGAAGAAGGCCCUCGGGUUGUAAAGCACUUUCAGUGAGGAAGAACGCCUGGUGGUUAAUACCCAUCAGGAAAGACAUCACUCACAGAAGAAGCACCGGCUAACUCCGUGCCAGCAGCCGCGGUAAUGCGGAGGGUGCGAGCGUUAAUCGGAAUUACUGGGCGUAAAGCGCGCGUAGGUGGCUUGAUAAGCCGGUUGUGAAAGCCCCGGGCUCAACCUGGGAACGGCAUCCGGAACUGUCAAGCUAGAGUGCAGGAGAGGAAGGUAGAAUUCCCGGUGUAGCGGUGAAAUGCGUAGAGAUCGGGAGGAAUACCAGUGGCGAAGGCGGCCUUCUGGACUGACACUGACACUGAGGUGCGAAAGCGUGGGUAGCAAACAGGAUUAGAUACCCCGGUAGUC